rnacentral:lncRNA from 1 species
CCCUCUCGAGUGUCUCCCCUCUCCUCUCCAGCUCUCCUCCGGAGUCCGGACUCUUCGUCUUCCAAGCCCUCUCCUCCGGACCUUCGCCUUCGCCCUCUCCUCCCCCGUGUCGACAACUUCGGCCUCCCCGUCGACGGCGACCGCGGCGGCUCAACGGGUCUUGGGAUUUUUUUGGCUCCCAUCGCCUUCCCUCUCCCUCUUCCGUUCGAAGUCUUCCGUGCGUGCGAGGUCGGAUCCUCUGCUCUACCGAGGUAAGAAAGAUCCAUCUUUUCUUCUUUCUUCCCUUAAUCUUUCCUCUUUUCUUCUCAAAUCUGAUACGGAUUCAUCCCUUCCUUCGUUUAUUUCUUCGAUUUCUAAGUUUUUUUUUGUUGUUCUCUUUUCUAUUGUAUUCUAGGUCAUCGGUCGAUGCAGGCUUUAUAAGUGAUUCAUUUUGGUAUAGUUUCUGGUUUUAUUUUUUGGGUGAAGUUGAUGAUUUCAAUAUUAUUUUUUUGUUCUUCCGGCAUUGGUUCUCCUAGAACCUAGAUGCUGAUAUUUGUUUUUUUUUUUCCUUUUUUUGUGGGCUUUCGACUAUAAUAUGAUGUUAGGGUUUGGGGUUUACUUCAUGUGGCAGAAUAUUUAUGUUGUAUGCGUGAUUGCGUGGUUGUGAUUUUCAGUCAUUUUAGUUAAUUAGAAUUUGUUGCUUAGCAAUGCAUUCCUCUUUUGUUGCAGGAGCUUGUGACCGAGUUUCAGGGCACAUCCAAAGAAGGUAAUAGAUGAGAAAGCCUUUUGUUUUUCUGUCAUCUGGAUUAAGAAGCAGUGUAUUGAUGCUUUGUUGUUAGUUGUAUAAUAGAAUCAGAACCAGUAAAUGUGCCAGGCCAGUGCCUUCUUAUUAUUAUUAAUGUUCAGCUGGAAAUGGAUGAAUCUUUAUAAGGGUUUUUUUU